GGGGAUGUAAAGGUUUCGACGGGGGAUGCGACCCGUGAUAAGCGAGCGGCGGUGCGGAACCGCCAUAAAAUCCGCAAACUUAAAAUAACUGACAAAAAUACAGUUGCUUUAGCUGCUUGAUGCAGCUCGUCCCUGUGCGGAGGACCUCGGCCGCACAAGGGGCGUCGAUCAGAGGUAAAGGUGAACAGGGCACCGCUUUGCGCCUUGUCAUCCAUCAGAAGCUACUAAACCGUGCAGCCUGUCGUUAGGCGGCACGGAGAGGGAAUGUCAAUAUAGCGACUGCGCUCGGAGAAACUCGCGGCAAACAUCUUUCGGACAGGGGUUCGAUUCCCCUCAUCUCCACCA
rnacentral:tmRNA from 1 species